UACGUAGGGUGCAAGCGUUGUCCGGAAUUAUUGGGCGUAAAGAGCUCGUAGGCGGUCUGUCACGUCUGCUGUGAAAACUCGGGGCUUAACCCCGGGCCUGCAGUGGGUACGGGCAGACUAGAGUGCGGUAGGGGAGACUGGAAUUCCUGGUGUAGCGGUGAAAUGCGCAGAUAUCAGGAAGAACACCCGUGGCGAAGGCGGCUCUCUGGGCCGGAACUGACGCUGAGGAGCGAAAGCGUGGGUAGCAAACAGG
rnacentral:rRNA from 1 species